rnacentral:rRNA from 1 species
GACGGGGGCUGCAAGCGUUAUCCGGAAUCACUGGGCGUAAAGCGUCUGUAGGCGGUGAUGCAAGUCACUGGUGCAAAACUCUGGCUCAACCGGAGGAAAGCCAGUGAAACUGCAUGACUAGAGUGUGGGAGAGGUAGAAGGAAUUCCCUGAGUAGCGGUGAAAUGCGUAGAUACAGGGAAGAACACCGGAGGCGAAAGCGUUAUACUAGAACACAACUGACACUGAGAGACGAAAGCUAGGGGAGCGAAUGGG